rnacentral:rRNA from 1 species
AGCGAACGCUGGCGGCAGGCUUAACACAUGCAAGUCGAGCGGGCGUAGCAAUACGUCAGCGGCAGACGGGUGAGUAACACGUGGGAACGUACCUUUUGGUUCGGAACAACUGAGGGAAACUUCAGCUAAUACCGGAUAAGCCCUAACGGGGAAAGAUUUAUCGCCGAAAGAUCGGCCCGCGUCUGAUUAGCUAGUUGGUGAGGUAAUGGCUCACCAAGGCGACGAUCAGUAGCUGGUCUGAGAGGAUGAUCAGCCACACUGGGACUGAGACACGGCCCAGACUCCUACGGGAGGCAGCAGUGGGGAAUAUUGGACAAUGGGGGCAACCCUGAUCCAGCCAUGCCGCGUGAGUGAUGAAGGCCCUAGGGUUGUAAAGCUCUUUUGUGCGGGAAGAUAAUGGCGGUACCGCAAGAAUAAGCCCCGGCUAACUUCGUGCCA